AGUGAACGCUCGCGGUAGGCCUAACACAUGCAACUCGAACGGCAGCACAGUAAGAGUUUGCUCUUACGGGUGGCGAGUGGCGGACGGGUGAGGAAUACAUCGGAAUCUACUUUUUCGUGGGGGAUAACGUAGGGAAACUUACGCUAAUACCGCAUACGUCCUACGGGUGAAAGCAGGGGAUCUUCGGACCUUGCGCGAUUCAAUGAGCCGAUGUCGGAUUAGCUAGUUGGCGGGGUAAAGGCCCACCAAGGCGACGAUCCGUAGCUGGUCUGAGAGGAUGAUCAGCCACACUGGAACUGAGACACGGUCCAGACUCCUACGGGAGGCAGCAGUGGGGAAUAUUGGACAAUGGGCGCAAGCCUGAUCCAGCCAUACCGCGUGGGUGAAGAAGGCCUUCGGGUUGUAAAGCCCUUUUGUUGGGAAAGAAAAGCAGCAGGUUAAUACCCCGCUGUUCUGACGGUACCCAAAGAAUAAGCACCGGCUAACUUCGUG
rnacentral:rRNA from 1 species